UUUUUCAAAAACAUGUCUUUUUGAGUUAAUUUAAAGUCUAAUCUGCCCACUGAUUUUAAUAUUGAAGGGCUGCAGUAAUUUGACUGUACAAAGGUAGCAUAAUCAUUAGUCUUUUAAUUGAAGACUUGUAUGAAUGAUUUGAUGAAAUAUAAACUGUCUCUAAUUUAUAAAUAAAACUUAAUUUUUUAGUUAAAAAGCUAAAAUAUUUUUAAAAGACGAGAAGACCCUAUAGAGUUUUAUAAUUUUUAAUUUAAAAUAUUUAUAUAAAAUUUUAAUAUUAUAUAUUAAAAAUUAUUUUGUUGGGGUGAUAAAAAAAUAAAUAAAACUUUUUUUCUUAUUUAACAAAAAUAAAUGAAUAAAUGAUCCAUAUUAAUGAUUAAAAGAAAAAAUUACCUUAGGGAUAACAGCGUAAUAUUUUUUUUUAGUACAAAUAAAAAAAAAAGUUUGCGACCUCGAUGUUGGAUUAAGAUAAAAUUUAAAUGCAAAAGUUUAAAAUUUUGA
rnacentral:rRNA from 1 species